AUCAAUGUAUUAAUUGUUUGGACAUGCCUCAGUGGACACAACUGUGUGUGUGUGUGUGUGUGUGUGUGUACCUGUGUAUGACACAGAGUGAUAAAUUGUUAGUAAUUAAUUAAUAUAAUAUCUUGAAUGUGCUGCUAUCAGCAUGAAGGUCUGUUUGAGUAAAGGCUAUAGCCCACUUUACCCAUACAUUUAUUUGAUCAAGUGGAGGUGCCAAAUGCGGAUCUUG